AAUCCAUGCAUUGGAUAUCUACACAUCAAAUCCUUAAAACUUCACAAGCUUCAUACAAAUUUUCAUCCUCUAACUGUUUGAAGGAAGUGAGGUCAUUCUGAAGCU